UAACCCUAAAUUACUUUUCAGACCAGAGUUGUUUUUCAGUAGCAAUUGCAGUAGAAUUGAAUGAAACUUGAAGUUAAUAGGCAUUAAAAUUGGGUUUAUUUAAGUAUACAACAAAGCUGUUCGCCUGUUAAUUGACCGACUUGUCUUAUGUAUAAUAUUUUUACCAGAUUGUUACCUUGAAGACAGAUAAACUAUAAUGCAAAAGUUCAUUUUGACAUUCCAAAUUGGGGAAAGGCCUUGAAGCCAUUGUAAAAUUAAACUGUUAUGGCCCCUUAAUUGAUUGAAAAUGUCAAAUUUCUGUCUGCAUAUGUUGGUGUAUGAAUUUAGUGAAAUUCAAAUUAGAUCAAAUUUGUUAUCAUUUUUCAGUGGUUCUUGCAUAAGAGUCAUCAGGAUGAUUUGGUCAUUUCAGAGAUGUACCCUUUAUAGCUCAACUUGAGUUAUUGUUGCUGGUCUUUGUCUGUUUUGCGAUGUGUGUCUAUAUGUCAACAUUUUUACUUAAACAAUAUCUCCUACUAAACCUUUGGGCAAAGCUUGAUGAAACUGGCAGGAAUAUUCCUGGCAUGAAGCUCCUUCAAUGUUGCUCCAAGAAUUGUUUUCCAUGAAAUCCUUGUUGCCCUGGCAACCAAAAGGAAAAACUUAAAAAAUCUACUCUGAAACUGCAAGGCCUUGGGCUGAGAUAUUUAGCAUGAAACAUUGUGUGGUGGACCUUUACCUGUGGGCAAGUCGAUUUUUUGUCGAGCCCACUUAUGGAGAGCUCGACAUAUUUGUCACAGUUGGCGGUUUGGUGUAUGUGGAUCAGUCCGUCAGUAUGAAAGUCCAGGUUAGGCUUGUCUGGAGCGUAAGUCUGUUAUUGAUUGGAGGAAUUUCAAAUAACUUACAAUAAAUGUUCACAAUCAUGACACGGCCGGUCACUGCUCAAGAAAACGUCAAUAUCUCAAAGGUCAAGGUCACACUUUGAGUUCAAAUGUCAAAAAUGGCCAUAAAUGACCUUGUCUGGGCCAUUAUUAUGUCAUUCAUUGUCAGAAUUAAAUUCAAUUUAAAUCAUGUGUUCACCAUAAUUUAACGGUGUUGCAUGGGAAGGAAUAAUGUCGAAAUCUCGAAGGUCAAGGUCACACUUUUAGUUCAAAAGUAAAAAAUGGCCAUAAAUGAGCUUGUCCGGGCCAUAACUGUGUCAUUCAUUGUAAGAUUUUAAAAUCAUUAAGCACAUUUGUUCACCAUCACUCGACGGUGUGUCAUAAGAAAGAAUUACGUCAAAAUCUCCAAAUUCAAGAUUACACUUAAGAGUUCAAAGGUUAAUUGGUGGGACUUGUACCAUGAUUGUUCAAACUAUGUUCCUGGGGUCAAAAUUGCCCAACUGGGAAGGGAAAUGUAAUUUCCUUAUUAGUAUAUUAAAAAACCUCAAAAACAAAAAUUUUCUCAUAAAUCACAAGGCCUAGAGCAAAGAUAUUUGGCAUGAAAGUUCAUCUUGUGGACCUUCACCAAGAUUGUUCAAGUAUCAUUGGAUCAUAUUUGCCCCACCCUCGGAUCAAAUUUGUUUUCCUUCUAUAAUAUAUAUAAUGAACACUUAAAAAUAUUCUUCUCAAAAACUGCAGUGCGAACAUACAUAUUUUGCAUAAAACAUCAUCUGGUGAACUUCUAUACAGAUUUUUAAAAUUAUCGGCUGGGGGUACCAAUGAUAAAUUCAUUGAAUUUACCUGCUAAGAUUCAUUUGCUUUGUGGAUAUGCAAUAACUUGCAAUGUUUUUAAAGUGAUUGAAUGGUUCAACAUUAACAUAAAAUUAAAAAGAAAAAAACUAUUUCAUACAUCAUAUUAUACUUAUAAAAAGCCAUAAUUGUAAUGCUUUCAUGGAAAAAAAUGAAUGUUUGCUUAAUUUUCAAAAAUAUUAAUAAAUCUUUAAUGUUGAGGAUUCUUCAUAAAGGUUUUACGUGUGCACAGAAUGUUAUGGUAAUCUCCAAAGCAUUCCCAUUACAAAAUACAUCCGAUGUCUAUGGAUAAGUUAUUUUUAUGCCCCCUUUCGAAGAAAAGGGGGUAUAUAGUUUUCGCACUGUCUGUCAGUCUGUCACACUUUUCGUGUCCGCUUUCUAAUUCAAAUAAUUUUCAUUCGAUCUUUACCAAACUUGGUCAGAAGUUGUGUCUAGACAAUAUCUAGGUCAAGUUCGAAUAUGGGUCUUGCCGGGUCAAAAACUAGGUCACGGGGUCACUUAGUGCAUUUCAAGGAUUUAGCAUGGUGUCUGCUCUCUAAUUGAAGUAGUUUGCAUCAACAUUCAUGCGCCUGUCAAGUAUCGGGCAUUCAGCGUGAGAGUCGCGCAUUUACGCAGCAAAACACCCUCUCACACAGCCAAAUCUUAUGCUCUCCUUUUUUUAUACGCCCGUUUUUAAAAACGGGACGUAUUAUAGUUUCACCCUUGGCGGACGGCGUCCACAGCAGUGUCCGCUCUCUAAUUAUACGCCCGUAUAAAAUACGGGACGUAUUAUGUGAAACCCCUUGGCGGGCGGGCGGGCGGCGGGCGGAAGGCAUCACUUUGUCCGGACUCUAAUUCAAAUUGUAUUCAUCCGAUCUUCACCAAACUUGGUCAGCAGUUGCAUCUAGUUGAUAUCUAGGCCAAGUUCGAAUAUGGGUCAUGCCGGGUCAAAAACUAGGUCAUAGGGUCAAUAAGUGCAUUUUCAAAGGGGCCACUUUGUCCGGACUCUAUUUCAAAUUGUAUUCAUCCGAUCUUCACCAAACUUGGUCAGCAGUUGCAUCUAGUUGAUAUAUAGGCCAAGUUCGAAUAUGGGUCAUGCCGGGUCAAAAACUAGGUCAUAGGGUCAAUUAGUGCAUUUUCAACGGCGCCACUUUGUCCGGACUCUAAUUCAAAUUGUAUUCAUCCGAUCUUCACCAAACUUGGUCAGUAGUUGCAUCUAGUUGAUAUCUAGGUCAAGUCCGAAUAUGGGUCAUGCUGGGUCAAAAACUAGGUCAAAGGGUCAAUUAGUGCAUUUUACUUUGUCCGGACUCUAAUUCAAAUUGUAUAAAUCUUAUCUUCACCAAACUUGGUCAGUAGUUGCAUCUAGUUGAUAUCUAGGCCAAGUUCGAAUAUGGGUCAUGCCAGGUAAAAAACUAGGUCAUAGGGUCAAUUAGUCCAUUUUCAACAGCGCCACUUUGUCCGGACUCUUAUUCAAAUUGUAUUCAUCCGAUCUUUACCAAACUUGGUCAGUAGUUGCAUCUAGUUGAUAUCUAGGUCAAGUUCGAAUAUGGGUCAUGUCGGGUCAAGAACUAGGUCAUAGGGUCAAUUAGUGCAUUUUCAACGGCGCCACUUUGUCCGGACUCUAAUUCAAAUUGUAUUCAUCCGAAACUUUUAAACAACUUUUUAUCCUGCGUCAAAGUGGUAUGGGGGUAUAAGUCACAUUCAGUGACAAAGCUCUAGUUCAAGUUGAAUUCACCAAACUUGGUCAGAGGUAGUAUAUAGAUUAUAUAUCAGUCAGGUCUGAUUGGAGACAUGCAACCGAUUAACACAUGCAAUAUUUUUAUGCAAUAUUUUUAUCCAGUUUUAUUUUGCGAUAUUUUCAUCGGGUUUAUUUUUAUAAUUUUAUUCUUGUGAUACGCCCGUUUUAAAAACGGGACGUAUUAUAGUUUCACCCUUGGCGGGCGGCGUCCAUGGCAGUGUCCGCUCUCUAAUUCAAAUAGUUUUCAUCCGAUCUUCACUAAACUUGGGCAGAAGUUGUGUCUAGACAAUAUCUAGGUCAAGUUCGAAUAUGGGUCAUGCUGGGUCAAAAACUAGGUCACGGGGUCACUUAGUGCAUUUCAAGGAUUAAGCAUGGUGUCCGCUCUCUAAUUGAAGUAGUUUUCACGCGAUCAUCACCAAAUUUGGUCAGAAGUUGUGUCUAGAUGAUAUGUAGGUCAAGUUCAAAUAUGGGUCAUGCCGGGUCAAAAACUAGGUCACGAGGUUACUUAGUGCAUUUCAAGCAUUUAGCAUGGUGUCCCCUCUCUAAUUGAAGUAGUUUUCAUCCGAUCUUCACCAAAUUGGUCAGAAGUUGUGUCUAGAUGAUAUGUAGGUCAAGUUCAAAUAUGGGUCAUGCAGGGUCAAAAACUAGGUCAUGAGGUCACAUAGUGCAUUUCAAGCAUUUAGCAUGGUGUCCGCUCUCUUAUUGAAGUAGUUUUCAUCCGAUCUUCACCUAAUUUGAUCAGAAGUUGUGUGUAGAUGAUAUGUAGGUAAAGUUCGAAUAUGGGUCAUGCCGGGUCAAAAAUGGGGUCACGAGGUCACAUAGUGCAUUUCAAGCAUUUAGCAUGGUGUCCGCUCUCUAAUUGAAGUAGUUUUUUAUCCGAUCUUCACCUAAUUUGGUCAGAAAAUGUUUCUAGAUGAUAUGUAGGUCAAGUUCAAAUAUGGGUCAUGCCGGGUCAAAAACGAGGUCACGAUGUCACUUAGUGCAUUUCAAGCAUUGAGCAUGGUGUCCAAAACCUUCGAACGGGCGUAUCUUGUGACAGUUUGGCACUCUUGUUUAAAUAGUUUUCAUCCGAUCUUCACCAAACUUGGUCAGAAGUUGUGUCUAGACAAUAUCUAUGUCAAGUUCAAAUAUGGGUCAUGCCGGGUCAAAAACUAGGUCACGAGGUCACUUAGUGCAUUUCAAGGAUUUAGCAUGGUGUCUGCUUUCUAAUUGAAGUAGAUUUCACCCGAUCUUCACCAAAUUUGAUCAGAAGUUGUGUCUAGAUGAUAUGUAGGUCAAGUUGGAAUAUGGGUCAUGCAGGGUCAAAAACGAGGUCACAAGGUCACAUAUUGCAUUUCAAGUAUUUAGCAUGGUGUCCGCUCUCUUAUUGAAGUAGUUUUCAUAUGAUCUUCACCAAAUUUAGUCAGAUGUUAUACUAAAUGAUAUCUCGGUCAGGUUUAAAUAUGGGUCAUGCCGGGUCAAUAACUAGGUCUCGAGGUCACUUAGUGCAUUUCAAGCAUUGAGCAUGGUGUCCAAAACCUUCGAACGGGCGUAUCUUGUGACAGUUUGGCACUCUUGUUUAAAACUGACGAUGCAUGAAACUAUUUUCACUCAUAUUUUUUAUGUAAUUUAAAUGCCAAAAUUUAGAAAAUGCAUAUGAAUGUGAAACGAAACUGUAAGUAAGUAAAUAGUGUUACAGUUACUGUACAAACAACCCAUUUUUCAAAAGAAGCGUUUUGUUUUGUAAACUGUACUGAUGGUUUUGCUAGUUAUGCCAUAGGUUGUUGAUAACUCGCGUUUGUUCAGCUAAUUUCAUUAUUUCUUUUAUAGCCAUUAAUGUGUUAUCAUGGUCAUUGAUGUGAACAAAAGCAAACUGUUAUUUUUACAGCAUCCAGUAAAAAUACCCAUAUUGUAAAUCACACGGGUACUACUGCUCUAAUGUUUGAUCAAGAAUGCAUCUAAUGGAUAAUCAAACUAGUGGUUUCACUCAAUUGAUUUUUGCAUAUAUAGGUAGGUGUACCUAGAGAUUGAGCUGGAGACAGUGAAGGUGCUGACCUCUGUGUGGAACACUUAGAAGCUGGCAAGUUUUCAUAUUGAAGGGUAUGGUUCCCAACCGCCCAUCACACACAGUAUGUAGCUUGUCGUCUUCCGCAGUAAAAACUGGGUGCUGGAAGAUGCUUACUGCUAUAUUGACUGCUUCCGAGCGCUUCCUGGACCUAAAAAUUAUCUCCCAGCAGCAACCUCCCCAAGGUGUGACGAGAGUCUUCAAGUGUUCCAGACGGCUGGUGAUGCAUUUCAAGAAAAGCCAUCAGAAUCUUGCAAUGAUCUGUAUACUUAAUAAAUGACAAAACAACAA